rfam:Corchorus olitorius cultivar O-4 contig11913, whole genome shotgun sequence.
AUGGAAGUGAUGAUUAUUUCCCCAGAUGAUCGAAGCUGAACAAACUGUGCGAAUUUGUUCUCAUAUUCUUGAGAAUCCAAGCCAGAAAUCUGAUCCAU